UACGGAGGGGGCUAGCGUUGUUCGGAAUUACUGGGCGUAAAGCGCACGUAGGCGGCUUUGUAAGUUAGAGGUGAAAGCCCGGGGCUCAACUCCGGAAUUGCCUUUAAGACUGCAUCGCUAGAAUUGUGGAGAGGUAAGUGGAAUUCCGAGUGUAGAGGUGAAAUUCGUAGAUAUUCGCAAGAACACCAGUGGCGAAGGCGGCUCACUGGCUCGGUACUGACGCUGAGGUGCGAAAGCGUGGGGAGCAAACAGG
rnacentral:rRNA from 1 species